rnacentral:misc_RNA from 1 species
UGUUCUCGAACCAACUCAAU